CAAUCAUCGUCUUCCCCAGCCCCUUCCUCCCAAGACUAUCUGCAAUCCCACAUCCACAAGGAUUUUCGAGUGAAUGCCAAUGCUUCCAAACCCAGGCGACGACCAAAUUGCUUUGAAUGAAGAGUGUCAAAUCAAGUAUAGUGCCCCACCAGGCCCGGACCGAUAGCACACUAUUCUAGUUUCUUGCUUCCUAGCAUCAGGCCUAUGGUCCAUCCAAACAAAGGCAGGAGUUCCCAUAAGGAAGCUUACUCACCUGUAAGUGUUUUAUAAUAACUUUUUGGAUGUCCUUGCUUCACACACUUGACUAUUUCGGAUGUCCUUCUAUGAUAACUUUUUGUUGUCUUCAUAUUGUUCGUAGAAUUGAUGAAAUCACUUGCAAAUUUAGAGAUGACGGAGUGCUUUGUAUAUUUCUUUUGUUGCAAUGAACUUUAUUUGGUCU